rnacentral:lncRNA from 1 species
UUUUAAUGCCAAACAGAAUUGUACUUCUGGAAAAUAAUAAUAACAGUACUUUACCCUGUUCUGUCUGCCUCAAAGUGCUUCAUUUGCAUUAAUAAAGCUUUGGGAUGUCCUUGCAUAGUUGAUGCUAUUAGUAUUGCAGACCAGUGCUUUUAACAUUAGUAACAUCUCUGUUGAAUUGAAGUACAGAGUAUGGGUAAUAUAGGAAUGAGAAUAAUAUAAAUUUCAACUAAACUGGCUUAAUGCGCCCUCCUCCUGUUGGGGGGUGGGGAGGGGGGAGGAGGGGGCAGAGCAGAGAAUGAGACAGAAGGAAGAAGCAAAGAAGCUCAUCAGAUAACAAAAACACAACAUGCAAUCAGCUACGUUGUUCUUUACAGGAAAACUGCCCCGGAGAUGCUUCCAGAGAACGAGAUGGAUGCAAUUCAAAAGGACUCAAGCAUCCGUCACUUGACAGUGCACGG